GUUGUUUUUAGAGAGGAGAAGUACCAUGCAGCACAGAGGCUGACUCCGUCACUCAGGGGACAGCACAGAGAAUCAGAGGGCCUGCAAACCUGAAGCUGUUCUGCCAACCCCAUUAGCCCCAGCAUUGAAAAUCAAAACUACUUCCCCUGGAUUACAAAUCAAACUUGGGAAGAAAUCAAGAUUAUUUUCAGAAAUAUUUAGAGGAAAAUCCCAAAGAAAGACAAAAAUUGAAUAGAGAAAAACUAUGGUGCUCCUCUUCCACCUGGGCUGCAGAAAGCUAGAAAAAAACCACCACCCCUGCCCUAAUGAUGAAAGGUAGACAAAUUACAAAAUCAUCACUUUGCUGGACCUAUCAGAGAUCUGAGGGUAUGGGCAACCAAGUAUCCUGAAACCCGAAGAAAUGAGGGUAGCUCCAAUGCAGGACAUAAACACCUGCCCGCCUGUGGCGCACAAGAGGAGGAGGUGCUGAGCAUCACAGAGGCAGGUAAGAAGAACUCAGCUGCAAUUCUAAAAAGUUGCAAAUGUUUGAGUGUGGGCUUGCAUGAGAAUAUACAACCUUAGCAGACACAAGGAGGUCUGCACCCAGUUAAAGGCUCUUUUCCACAGAGUUCCAGCAAAUAUUUACAAGAAAGGUCAGGGGUUGGGGAGGAAAUGAAAACGAUGGCACAGACCUUGAGAAAGGGAGCAGAUGCAGGAAAGACAUAAGUCCCACCUGGACCCUACUCCAUUAGGAAAAAACCGUCUUAAGCCUCUGGAGGAGGCACAGCAAGGACUAUCUUCCAUAGAGCACAAGAGAGGACCCACUGGGGCUAGGAGAAGAGUAAAAAUAAAAAGCCUCAGUCCCAGGGGUAGGGAAUGGGCCCAGGAUCCUAUACCAAUACUAUUGAAGACCUCUCCCACAAGAGUCCAGCCAAAGACACAAAGUGUUUGGCCACCAUGGGCAGGAGGGACACCAUCACUUUGAAAGUUGCAGAUUAAUGACACUGGCACACAGGCCCACCCAAAGCUGAGGCUUGGCCAGGACAACAGAGAACCCAAUAACUCCAAUCACCAGGCUACCACGUACCAAGUAACAAGAAACAAGAGUCUACUCCUGCAAGAGGGCCAUGAGCAUAGAGAAAGACCCUUGUCUGUAACAGAGGCACACAGAGAAGGUCUAUAGCUGAAUAUGGAGCAGGAACAUUGAGAAAAACCCUUCAGCACCCCAGACUCCUCCAUAAGUAGAAGGUAGGACUAGAAGAAUUCAGUGAGGAUGGGGGUGCACUGAACAUAACCAGACCAACAAGAAAACCCAAACCCAGCUGAACUUCUGACCAGAGUGACUCAACCCCACACUAACAGUAUAGGAGAAAAGGUUUGCCCACUCCGGGCAUAAUACUUUUGCCUCAGUCUCUACUGUUCUAUACAUGAUGUCCAGCAAUAACACAAAAAUUCUGAGACAGAAAAAAGGAAAAAGAAGCAAUCAUCUUCUAAGAGACAAGGAAAUCAACAAAAGCAGAUGCAGAGAUGACCCAGAUAUUGUUAUUGUCAGGUGGGAAAUGUAAAAUGCAUAUGAUUAAUAAGUCAAAACUUUCAUGUAUGAACAGAUGGAGACUUUCAAUGGAAAAAAAGAAAACUGUAAGAGCCCAAAGAAAAUGCAACAUUUUUUUUUUAAACCCAUGGUGACAUAAAUGAAGAGUGCCUUUGCCAGACCUAUCAGUAGACCUGACAUGGCUAAGGAAAGAAUCAUUGAAUUUGAAAACAGAUCAAAAGAAGCUACCCAACUGUCACACAAGGAGAAAAAAAAAGUGAGAAAAUAAAAAGAGCAGGACACCAAAGAACUGUGGGACAAUACCAAGUAGACUUACACACAGAUAACUACAAUACUAGAAGAAGAAAAGAGAGAAAAGUGGGCAAAAGAGAUAUUUGAAAUGAAAAUAGCUGAGAAUUUUCCACAAAUCAUGAAAGACUUUAAACCACAGAUCCAGGAAUAUUAGAGAACUCCAAGAAAUUUCACUUCCCUCUCUCAUUAAUGGAGAGACACACCUAGUCACAUCAAUGGAGUAAUAUGGAAAGGUUAUGUUGAUGCUCAAACUGCUCAAUGUAUUGACAGAAAAUAAGGCUACAAAACAUGUAUUCCAAAGGUCCACAACCACGCCAGAAAUGCCUGAAUGGUAAAAAGCCUUUUGAUGAGACGUGUGGAAACAACAUAAGGGAAAAUUCAAGUGUAAAAGACAUUAUGUGUCAAACCAGUAAGAGCUGGGUCAAAACUCUAGAAAAAGUUCACAACUGUAUAAAAUGAAAUGUUCUUUCAUUCAGCAAGUGUAUUAUAUCUUUUCUGUUUCAAAGUUGAUAAGCUGUCUUUCUCAAUGAUUUGUCCAUUUUAUCUAUUCUGUCAAAUUCAUUAUAAAAAUCUAUACAUAGUAUCAUAAUAGUUUAUUAU
rnacentral:lncRNA from 1 species